rfam:Myotis brandtii contig202355, whole genome shotgun sequence.
GUCGGUUCUCAGGUGACACACACUGUGAUUGGGCUCCCUCCUCUCUGGUUCCGGGUGCGUCACCCUAGAACCGCA